CAGUGAAAUCAACAAUGACUUGUGUCAGGAGAAAUCUUUAACUUAUUAUUUAUUACAAGAUACUCUAAUGUUUAAAGAGCAAUCCAACAUAAUUGAAGAGAAAAAACCCACCAAAGCCAGGGUCAGGUCACUUUUUUGAAGACAGUGCCACUUUUUCUUCAAGGUUACACCUACUACCUGAAAAAAGUCAUGAUACCCAGUGAUAUCUGCUGGAGACAGAAAUAUCAUCUAUGAGAUGGAGCCUUUUUGCUUGUAAUUGAAUGGAGCCAAGUUCUACAUUCUGAGUGACAAUGUGUGGAAGAAGAAGAGAGGACAGAGAAAUGAUUUCUUCGUGUGUUUUGUUCAGUGCCAUAUGUGAACAGCCCAGAAAAGUACCUGGCACAGACAAGCACUGACAGCUGUUCUGGAACAUGUGCGUUCUUCCUGCUUAUGUACCCAGUGACUCUUGUUACCAGGAAACCCACGGCAGUCAUGGAAAGGACUAUGGCCACCUGCUGCAUAACUGCUAUGUGCACAUGGGCUUUUGGUGCAGGAGCUGUCACCCACUAUGUCAUCCGAUGCUGUGGAUGCUGCCACUUCGGUGGGAGUUUGUCCUAGAUGAGGCGACUGGAGACAAUGGAGCAAUGAACAAUUUCCCUUUUUGAGAAAACUAAUUUCAACACCAUUGACAUACCCAGUAUUAAUACUAAAAAGCAAGCACUUCAGAUUAAUUUUUAACUGAAGUUGGAAAUCAGUAUGAAAUCUGGAACUAAGAGCAUUGAUAAAAUACAAACAGAAUUUUAACAGCUCCAGUUAAUUAUGUUGAAAGUCUUUACUUUUUCUCAUCCUGUUUCCAGGUACAGCAAGGAGGCCAGUGUGUUUGGUAUAGUGGCAGGAACUCAGUGAACAUUUCUUGAAUGAAUGAAGUUUCACUUUAUACUAGACUUUUGUGAGCACCAGUGUCAACAGAAGAGCCUCACUCUCACAGAUUCUGAUUCAGCAGGUCUUCAGGAGCCCCUGAAUUUGCUUCUAGGUGGUGCUGACAUGCUGGUUUUAGGACAUCGAUGCCACCUUGAGUAGCAUUGCUUUAGAUUGCAGUCUGUUCUCUAUAUUUUCUAACAUUUGAAAAUUUGAAUUAUGGCCCACGCUGAUGCCUGAUGGAAGAACACUUCUCUAUCUGGGAAGGUUGGCCCAAUAAGCAGAAGGACCUAAUGGGACACAAAAUAAGAAAGGGAUAUACUUUCAGACCAGCCAGGCAGAUCUGCCAAAUCCAGCCUGGCCACUGAUGAGCAUAGCAGAUGCCCUGGCCAGAUUGCUUUCACAUCCAGUCUGUACCUACUCUAUCCAGAUUGAGCUGACUGGCAUACAAUUCAUGCAUAUGAAUAGCUCCUACUCUGCAGGAUAUCCUAUAUGUAUUUGCAUAGAGUAAAAUUUGCAUUUACAUAUAGCACAUUUCUGCACAAGUAGAUAUUGCAAGGUCCAUGUAUACAUAUGGAAAGAAGUCUGGAAAGAUUGUGUGUGCUGAACCAGGGAUUAAGCUAAAUGUCUGUUGAGUAAACGAGGCUCUUUUGGGAAAAGAAAUGGUAGUGAGAAUUAGCAUGUAUGAAGCCUCCAUUAUGUACCAUGCACUGUUAAGAACCUUCACACACAUUGUCUCAAUCCUUA